AACGAACGCUGGCGGCAUGCCUAACACAUGCAAGUCGAACGAGACCUUCGGGUCUAGUGGCGCACGGGUGCGUAACGCGUGGGAACCUGCCCUUAGGUUCGGAAUAACUCCCCGAAAGGGGUGCUAAUACCGGAUAAUGUCUUCGGACCAAAGAUUUAUCGCCUUUGGAUGGGCCCGCGUUGGAUUAGCUAGUUGGUAGGGUAAAAGCCUACCAAGGCGACGAUCCAUAGCUGGUCUGAGAGGAUGAUCAGCCACACUGGGACUGAGACACGGCCCAGAAUCGUACGGGAGGCAGCAGUGGGGAAUAUUGGACAAGGGGCGAAAGCCUGAUACAGCAAUGCCGCGUGAGUGAUGAAGGGCUUAGGGUUGUAAAGCUGUUUUACACGGGAUGAUAAUGACAGUAACGGGAGAAUAAGCUCCGGCUAACUACGUG
rnacentral:rRNA from 1 species